UUCGCUUGCAAGCUUCGUUGCGUUCGCACGCCUUUUUCUGGCUCCCGUUGUCUCGCGUUCCGUCGUUGCUCUGGUGCCCUGGACUGCUGUGAAUGUGUUUUUAUGCCCUACUAGUGUUGCCUGGGGGUGCUUUUAUGUGUGCACCCUGGAAGAUAGGUCCAGAAGCCUUGCGAUUUCUUAGAUUAAAGAUACUUUCGACGUAUUCAUUGCGGUGAACAACGCGGUUGGGACAGCACACUCACGACGUGGGAAGGUCACAGAAAUGUUGAAAGACAUCAGAUGUGUGGAAACGUCGUAGCGGAUGAAUGUGAAUUAUGGAUCUCCAAGUGGCGUCGCCCGCGUCAUUUUCAAGAUUUUACCCGUUUUGAAGGCAAUAGGGCUGUUGAUAGGGAGAAUGCUA